GUCCCUAUAGCUCAGUAGGAUAGAGCAUCGGCCUUCUAAGCCGAGUGUCGCAAGUUCGAAUCUUGCUAGGGACG
rnacentral:tRNA from 1 species